GGGGAUGUAGCUCAGUGGUAGAGCACAUGCUGUGCAUGUAUGGCUCCCAGGUUCGAUCCCUGGCAUCUCCA
rfam:Loxodonta africana unplaced genomic scaffold scaffold_143, whole genome shotgun sequence.